rnacentral:rRNA from 1 species
UACGGGGGGGGGUAAGCGUUGUUCGGAAUUACUGGGCGUAAAGGCUCGUAGGCGGCCAACUAAGUCGGACGUGAAAUCCCUCAGCUUAACUGGGGAACUGCGUCCGAUACUGGAUGGCUUGGAUUUGGGAGAGGGAUGCGGAAUUCCAGGUGUAGCGGUGAAAUGCGUAGAUAUCUGGAGGACACCGGUGGCGAAGCGGCAUCCUGGACCGGCAUUGACGCUGAGGCGCGAAAGCCAGGGGAGCAAACGGGG